rnacentral:rRNA from 1 species
UACGUAGGGGGCAAGCGUUGUCCGGAAUUAUUGGGCGUAAAGAGCGUGUAGGCGGUCCGGUAAGUCAGCUGUGAAAGUCAAGGGCUCAACCCUUGAAAGCCGGUUGAUACUGUCGGGCUAGAGUCCGGAAGAGGCGAGUGGAAUUCCCGGUGUAGCGGUGAAAUGCGCAGAUAUCGGGAGGAAAACCAAUGGCGAAGGCAGCUCGCUGGGACGGUACUGACGCUGAGACGCGAAAGCGUGGGGAGCAAACAGG